UCGCCUGUUUAUCAAAAACAUGGCCUUUUGAGAUUUAUUUAAGGUCUGACCUGCCCUAUGAGAAAUUAAAUGGCCGCGGUAUUUUAACCGUGCAAAGGUAGCAUAGUCACUUGUCUCUUAAUUGGAGGCUUGUAUGAAGGGUUGGACGAGAAAUAACCUUUCUUUUUUAUAUUAAGUUGAAUUUAAUUUUUAAGUUAAAAAGCUUAAAUUUAUUUAUAGGACGAGAAGACCCUAUAGAAUUUUAUGUAUUUAUAUUAAUAGUUUAUUUUUGGAUGAUUUAAUUUUUAUUUUAAAUAUAUUUUGUUGGGGCGAUGGGAAGAUUUUUUUAACUCUUUUUAUUUUUAUUCAUUGAUAUAUGUUUGUUUUGAUCCUUUUUUAGAGAUUAUAAGAUUAAAUUACCUUAGGGAUAACAGCGUAAUUCUUUUGGAGAGUUCUUAUCGAUAAAGGAGUUUGCGACCUCGAUGUUGAAUUAAGAUAAGUGCCAGGGGUAGGUUUUUGGUUACUGGGUCUGUUCGACCUUUAAAUUCUUACAUGAUCUGAGUUCAAACCGGAGAA
rnacentral:rRNA from 1 species